rnacentral:rRNA from 1 species
UUAAUACUGGAUAGAUCAAAGAUACUGGAAUGUUCUCUGGUCCAAAACUCCGGUGCCCAAGGAUGGGUCUGCGGCCUAUCAGGUUGUAGUGGGUGUAACGUACCUACUAGCCUACGACGGGUAAGGGUUGUGAGAGCAAGAUCCCUGAGAUGGAUUCUGAGACAUGAAUCCAGGCCCUACGGGGUGCAGCAGGCGCGAAAACUUUACACUGCGGGAAACCGCGAUAAGGGGACCCCGAGUGCCAGCACCUAGUGCUGGCUGUCCCGCUGUCCAAACAACAGUGGUUAGCAAGGGCCGGGCAAGACCGGUGCCAGCCGCCGCGGUAACACCGGCGGCCCGAGUGGUAGCCGCUAUUAUUGGGUUUAAAGGGUCCGUAGCCGGCUUAUUAAGUCUCUUGGGAAAUCUGGCGGCUCAAUCGUCAGGCGUUCA